UACGUAGGGGGCUAGCGUUGUCCGGAAUCAUUGGGCGUAAAGAGCGUGUAGGCGGCCCGGUAAGUCCGCUGUGAAAGUCGGGGGCUCAACCCUCGAAAGCCGGUGGAUACUGUCGUGCUAGAGUGCGGAAGGGGCUACUGGAAUUCUCGGUGUAGCGGUGAAAUGCGUAGAUAUCGAGAGGAACACCUGCGGCGAAGGCGGGUAGCUGGGCCGACACUGACGCUGAUGCGCGAAAGCCAGGGGAGCGAACGGG
rnacentral:rRNA from 1 species